rnacentral:rRNA from 1 species
UCUUGUAAUUGGAAUGAUGGGAAUUUAAACCUCUUCCAGAGUAUCAAUUGGAGGGCAAGUCUGGUGCCAGCAGCCGCGGUAAUUCCAGCUCCAAUAGCGUAUAUUAAAAUUGUUGCAGUUAAAAAGCUCGUAGUUGAAUUUCUGCUGCAUUUCAUUUCUCUUUCUGAGUUUGUUUUUGCGGCUUAUUUCGGUUUGAUUUUUUCUUUCCGGAUGAUUACUUUGAGAAAAUUAGAGUGCUCAAAGCAGGCUUUUGCCUUGAAUAGUUUAGCAUGGAAUAAUAAAGUAGGACUUUGGUUCUAUUUUGUUGGUUUUAGGUACCAAAGUAAUGGUUAAUAGGAACAGUUGGGGGCAUUCGUAUUUAACUGUCAGAGGUGAAAUUCUUAGAUUUGUUAAAGACGAACUACUGCGAAAGCAUUUGCCAAGGAUGUUUUCAUUAAUCAAGAAC